CAAUAGCGUAUAUUUAAGUUGUUGCAGUUAAAAAGCUCGUAGUUGGAUUUCGGUUAAGAGCGACCGGUCCGCCGUUUGGUGUGCACUGGUUGGUUUUAACUUCCUGUAGAGGACGUGCUCUGGGUUUAACGACCUGGACUCGGAGUCUACGUGGUUACUUUGAAAAAAUUAGAGUGUUCAAAGCGGGCUUACGCUUGAAUAUUUCAGCAUGGAAUAACACUAUAGGACUCCUGUCCUAUUUCGUUGGUCUCGGGACGGGAGUAAUGAUUAAGAGGAACAGUUGGGGGCAGUCGUAUUUCAUUGUCAGAGGUGAAAUUCUUGGAUUUAUGAAAGACGAACUUCUGCGAAAGCAUUUGCCAAGGAUGUUUUCAUUAA
rnacentral:rRNA from 1 species